rnacentral:misc_RNA from 1 species
AAUUAAAAUCCUGAAAGAACUAGAACCAACAAAAUUUUCGGAGAAAAGUUAAACUGUCAUAAAUCUAAGUAUUAAAAAUUUUAAAACAUGCUAUAGCUACAAUAAAUUGGAGGGACUUUUCUGAUCCUAGCAACCUCACCGCCCACCAAAAGAGAGGUGGAAGGAACAAGUCAUACGCAAACAUAAAAAUACUUAUGUCCUGCUCAGGCUAGAAUAUACUUGCAAGCAAUGAGAAAACUUAUAAACCUAAAAAAUGGAGAACCAUAGGAAUUGGAUGGAUUUGCCUCCUCAUAUCCAUCUAUAUUUCUGUGGUUCCUAUGCUUUCAACAAUAGAACUAU